rnacentral:tRNA from 1 species
GGUUCCAUGGUGUAGCGGUUAGCAUGUCUGCUUUACAUGCAGAAGGUCCUGGGUUCGCGCCUCCGUGAAGCCA